UUCGGAUUGUAGUCUGCAACCCGGCCUACAUGAAGCUGGAAUCGCUAGUAAUCGCAGAUCAGAAUGCUGCGGUGAAUACGUUCCCGGGCCUUGUACACACCGCCCGUCACACCAUGGGAGUCGGUAACACCCGAAGUCGGUAGCCUAACCGUAAGGAGGGCGCCGCCGAAGGUGGGAUUGAUGACUGGGGUGAAGUCGUAACAAGGUACC
rnacentral:rRNA from 1 species